AGGGGGACGGCUCCCAGCAGAACGGACUGCAGACCGAGGAGCUCUCUCAGCUCAGAGAGGAGCUGGACGAGCUCCACAAGCAGCACGCAGUCCUGCAGACGCAACUCGCCGAGCGAGACGCACUAAUCACCACCCUGCAGUCGAGCUCCCAGACGACAGAGAGCCCGGCAGGAGGAUCAGACAACACAGAGCUGCUGCAGGAGCUGGAGGCUA